rnacentral:rRNA from 1 species
GACAGAGGAUGCAAGCGUUAUCCGGAAUGAUUGGGCGUAAAGAGCUCGUAGGCGGUCUGUCGCGUCCGUUGUGAAAACUCGAGGCUCAACCUCGGGCUUGCAGUGGAUACGGGCAGACUAGAGUGCGGUAGGGGAGACUGGAAUUCCUGGUGUAGCGGUGGAAUGCGCAGAUAUCAGGAGGAACACCGAUGGCGAAGGCAGGUCUCUGGGCCGCGAACUGACGCUGAGGAGCGAAAGCAUGGGGGAGCGAACAGG